rnacentral:rRNA from 1 species
GUCCACGCCGUAAACGAUGGGCACUAGGUAGCGGGCGGAUCCGACCGUUCGCUGCUGACGGAAAUCCAUUAAGUGCCCCGCCUGGGGAGUAUGGUCGCAAGGCUGAAACUCAAAGGAAUUGACGGGGCUCACACAAGCGGUGGAGGAUGUUGCUCAAUUCGAAGCAACGCGAAGAACCUUACCAGGGUUUGACAUGCAGGGAUCAACCCCGUGAAAGCGGGGGAUUGCCUUCGGGUGUAACCUGCACAGGUGUUGCAUGGCUGUCGU